CCUACGGGUGGCAGCAGUGGGGAAUAUUGGACAAUGGGGGGAACCCUGAUCCAGCCAUGCCGCGUGUGUGAAGAAGGCCCUCGGGUUGUAAAGCACUUUCAGUGAGGAAGAACGCCUGGUGGUUAAUACCCAUCAGGAAAGACAUCACUCACAGAAGAAGCACCGGCUAACUCCGUGCCAGCAGCCGCGGUAAUACGGAGGGUGCGAGCGUUAAUCGGAAUUACUGGGCGUAAAGCGCGCGUAGGUGGCUUGAUAAGCCGGUUGUGAAAGCCCCGGGCUCAACCUGGGAACGGCAUCCGGAACUGUCAAGCUAGAGUGCAGGAGAGGAAGGUAGAAUUCCCGGUGUAGCGGUGAAAUGAGUAGAGAUCGGGAGGAAUACCAGUGGCGAAGGCGGCCUUCUGGACUGACACUGACACUGAGGUGCGAAAGCGUGGGUAGCAAACAGGAUUAGAUACCCGUGUAGUC
rnacentral:rRNA from 1 species